CAAAAAAGAAGAAAAGACAGAAAUUUUCAAAAAAGCUCAAAUCUUGUAUGACGGAGCCAAGUCAUCUUUCUCUUUCUUUCUUUCCUA
rnacentral:ribozyme from 13 species